AUUGAACGCUGGCGGCAGGACUAACACAUGCAAGUCUAACGAGUGGCGGACGGGUGAGUAAUUUCUGGGACACUGCAUGAUGGAGGGGGAUAACUACUGGAAACGUUAGCUAAUACCGCAUACCAUCGGAUGUGCCCAGAUGGGAUUAGCUAGUAGGUGGGGUAACGGCUCACCUAGGCGAAGAUCCCUAGCGGGUCUGAGAGGAUGACCAGCCACACUGGAACGGAGACACGGUCCAGACUCCUACGGGAGGCAGCAGUGGGGAAUAUUGCACAAUGGGCGCAAGCCUGAUGCAGCCAUGCCGCGUGUAUGAAGAAGGCCUUCGGGUUGUAAAGUACUUUCAGCGGGGAGGCGUUACCCGCAGAAGAAGCACCGGCUAACUCCGUGCCAGCAGCCGCGGUAAUUC
rnacentral:rRNA from 1 species